GCACAGCACAAUACCAGGGAAAAUAUUAAUCCAAGAAGUUCCAGGAUACCUACGCCAGCUGCUACACCGAUGACAAUGUUUUUUUGGCUCUUCAGUGCAUCCAUCAGUUUGUCUAUACAACCCUGAAGAAAAAGAAAAAAAAUCAAGAUUCGGGCACCUUGUACAUGGUAUUCACAUCGCCAGAAACAGUUAAGCUGACGGGAAUCGAUGGAUCUUUGGUUGCAUAUUUACUACCCGUCCAAUCAGCUGGACCAGUAGCUCCGCAACAUCCGAGACCCGAUUGAAAUGCAUCGACGGCCUCUGUUUGAGAGUCGUCCUCGCCAUAUUUAUUCUGAAAAAGAUUAAUUGUCGAUACCUUAACGGUAUUUAUCACGGAAGACUUGACCAGCUCCUCGAGGCUAUCGCUAUUCCUGUAAAGCCAAGCUCCAGCUGCGAUUUGUGCAACGAUAACCACCAGCAGGCAACUGAAGAAAACGACCAGCAUACACUGGGAUUCACGGAAGGCACCACAGCAGCCGAGAAAUGCUACUAUCAGCAUCAGGAUCCCAGCUGAGAGGAGGAUAUAGAGACCAGCGUUAAAGUUAUGCUGUUCCUGAGUCAGGGACAUCAGGAACGUUUGGUCUGUUAACAUCCAUACUGCUAGUACCACUCCUGCUAGACCCACAGCCUGAAAAUUUAACGUUACUUUAACUUACAAUUAUACACUCAACAUAGAGAGAAUAAAGGAACGAUUAGAAGGUAUACACAAGUGUUAGUAUACAGCUUGCUAUUGGUUUUUUCAGUGAUACGUUAAGUAUACAGUAGUUUUCUAAGAAACGAUAGAGAGGUAGUACAGAUAACGAUAAGACUUUUUCCUCUGUAUUUUAGGGUCAACCAGGGUCCUUUUUAGAUAGGAUACCGUUACUUGUAUUGAAAUGCUAGUCGCGUUCCAGCCAGAACGUACAUAGUUUCUACAUUCCUAGGUAAAAAAUAUUUACGAACCAGGACAGGACGCGCCCCUUUUUCAACGGCCUGUCCACCAGAUGUGUGCACAUUCAUGCAAACUGCACUUGGAUUUUCCCAUUCUCCUCUUUUCUAUAGAAGCAUUUCUUUUAAGAAUAGUUGGACUGGUGUUUACACGAAGAACGAUGGCUUCCAGGAUUGAAGGUUCAGUGGGUUAAGCUAGCAGAACCACUCAAUGUCUGAAUCCCGAUGGAGGCGUGCCUUUAAACAGAGGACUUCCUGUAUUCUCAACGCGUCUCUCGUAUAGUUCGACUUGUGAAUGCUAAUGUAAGAAGCAGAUGCAACAACUCGGGAAGAUCGGUUGAGUCAACCAGAUUCUUCUCUAAUGCAAGUCAGACGUGGACUGUAUUUAAUGGCAUGAUUACUUUCGCAUUUCUCUAUGAUUUAAUAAGAUAAUGAUCAACAUCCAUCGAUUUUCCAGCAAGUUUGUUAACGAUGCAAUACGUAACAUGGAUACAGUCGCAAGGGAUAGAAAACUGGGCCGCAGUGUAGGAUGCAAAAGCUCGUAGGAAGAACAUAUUCGUUCUCUGACUGGAAAUCUAUAAUUAAACGCACUUAUUCGCUGUUGAAUAUUUUCAAAUUAAACGCGCAGCUGACAUAAGCACUAUUGUUAAUCCGUUAGUAAAAUGGGCAGAUAGCAAUUAAUGCGUGAUAUACGCACUACCCAGAUGCAAUCGAUUCAGCCGCCCUCUCGGAUUACUACGCUUCGUACCGGAAGGCCAUGGUGUUAAUUAAGGAAAACAUAUUAACUAUGGAUAUUUUUCCUGAUCAAGCAUUUGGAUGAACGUUCAUAGGAAAAUAUUUUAACUGAUCAUUAAGCCUGAACAAAAUAAUCUCGCGUAGAGACAAAGAUUUUUGUAAGGAAAAUGAAUUUGAAAAAAAAAAAGAUGCAUACACCCAGAUACAAUCGAUUCAGCUACGCUAAAAUUACAUGGACGCUGGAUACUAAACAAAGUAUCGAAUUUAAAAAGAAAAUCUCGAAACUUCGGGUCUUUGAUCCUUAUCACUUGAUGUUUUAUAAAUCUGUUGAAAAAUAAAUUUUGGAUAAAAAUGAAAUGCAUGAAGCGUGAAAGGUAAUAUAAUAGUAUAAUUUAUAGCAUUUUUAAGUAAAUUGGGUGUCGCUAGGGAAAUGCAAUUACAGAGUAUAUCGAGCGAGAUUGAUGCUGAUACUAAAAUUGUUUAUUUCCUUUUGUUAUCAGCCCCCUGUUCCUGAAGUGUCUUUUCGUUUUAGUAUUAUCAUUUAUUUUUAUAAUGCUAUGUACUUUUACGUGCAGCAUUAGUCAAAUAUUUGUAUAAUACUCAAAUACAUUAUACGUAUUUCUACUGAUGUACGCUAUACAUGUAUUGUAUAAAUAGUGCUCGAGUUUAUUGAACCAAAUUAUGCUUAUUUAUUGCACGAUUCGUAUACAUACUUAAUAUCGCAUUUCCAUUGUGAAUAAAAAUAUCCUUUAAUAAUUAAA